rnacentral:rRNA from 1 species
GACGAACCGUGCGAACGUUGUUCGGAAUCACUGGGCUUAAAGGGCGCGUAGGCGGGCUGCCGCGUCCGGGGUGAAAUCCUCCCGCUCAACGGGAGAACGGCCUCGGAUACGGGCGGCCUCGAGGGGGGUAGGGGCAUCUGGAACUGUGAGUGGAGCGGUGAAAUGCGUUGAUAUUCACAGGAACUCCGGUGGCGAAGGCGAGGUGCUGGACCCCAUCUGACGCUGAGGCGCGAAAGCCAGGGGAGCAAACGGG